CCUACGGGAGGCAGCAGUGGGGAAUAUUGGGCAAUGGGCGAAAGCCUGAUCCAGCAACGCCGCGUGAAGGAAGAAGUAUUUCGGGUUGUAAACCUCUUUUCGCAGGGACGAAACAAGUGACGGUACCUGAGGAAGAAGCCACGGCUAACUACGUGCCAGCAGCCGCGGUAAUACUUAGGUGGCAAGCGUUAUCCGGAUUUACUGGGUGUAAAGGGCGUGUAGGAGGGUAAGCAAGUCGGAUGUGAAAAGCGGGGGCUCAACCCGCGGACUGCAUUUGAGACUGUGUUUCUGGAGUACUGGAGAGGCAGACGGAAUUCCUAGUGUAGCAGUGAAAUGCGUAGAUAUUAGGAGGAACACCAGUGGCGAAGGCGGGCUCCUGGACAGCAACUGACGUUGAGGCACGAAAGCGUGGGGAGCAAACAGGAUUAGAUACCCUUGUAGUC
rnacentral:rRNA from 1 species